ACACAAGAUCUGAGAAACCCUGCAAAGUAUUAUCUGAUCCUCACAGUGUUUUCUUUUCUAUAAUUGUAGGUGAUCUCAAUAAUGAGUGAAAAUGGUCUGUAUUCUGGAACACUCAUGUGUUGAGGAAAAAUCCAGAUGAACAGAAAGGUGGGGCUUUCUUGCUGGCUUUAGUCUGGAGAGCCUCCCUGAUUCCAGCCUCCUGCUGGGAAUGAGGAUCGGGAGUGUGGUGUAAGGAACUCUGUUUCCAGGAGGAUGGCCCAGCAGCAGCUCAGUCCAUGCUUCUUAACCAACCAUAUCCAUAGACUCUAGUUCCGUGUCCACAUCAAACAAGGCUCGCUGAGCAAUUCCUGAGCAACACCACCCAUGACUGACAGUUACUCUGUGUCCUUCUCACUCCCCAUGAGGGCCUGUGGAAGGAGCUUUCUCAAGAGAGGUCCGAGGAAGGGACCCUGUCUAAUGCCAAGCCACCAAGAGAACCAAAACCAAAAAAAAAUGUGCAAACAGUCCUCACCUUGAUCUGCUCCUCACACUGCUCACUUGUGUAAUUGAGACCGUCUCAAGAGCAAGAGGAAACUGUGAAAAUUCUGAACGACCUCACUGGCUGAGGAAGACAUUUAG